rnacentral:rRNA from 1 species
CUACGGGUCGCUGCAGUGAGGAAUAUUGCACAAUGGGGGGAACCCUGAUGCAGCAACGCCGCGUGGAGGAUGACGCAUUUCGGUGUGUAAACUCCUUUUAUAUGUCAAGAAAAUGACGGUAGCAUAUGAAUAAGCAUCGGCUAACUCCGUGCCAGCAGCCGCGGUGAAUACGGAGGGUGCAAGCGUUACUCGGAAUCACUGGGCGUAAAGGACGCGUAGGCGGGUUGGAAAGUCAGGUGUGAAAUCCUACAGCUUAACUGUAGAACUGCACUUGAAACUUCUAAUCUAGAGUAUGGGAGGGGGAGAUGGAAUUAGUGGUGUAGGGGUAAAAUCCGUAGAUAUCACUAGGAAUACCUAAAGCGAAGGCGAUCUCCUGGAACAUUACUGACGCUAAGGCGUGAAAGCGUGGGGAGCAAACAGGAUUAGAUACCCCGGUAGUC